rnacentral:rRNA from 1 species
CGCGAUUGGGACCUUUUUGAUUCCAAGAAGUGCCGCCGGUUUGCCAUCUAUCCCUUUGCCUUCUCUCUCUCACCAGGUUUAGGCUUUGGUUUCUUGAUGUAUUUCCGGUUCAUCUUUUUGGAGAGGUCAGCAUCAGCUACUCGGAAUGAUUUCGUUCAAAGAAGGUAGGUUCCUUGUGGACCGUAUAUCUUUGUUCUUUCCUUUUCCUUGUGGCUGAGGAGUGUUUCUGUUUCCGAGCUCCACUUUCGAGUACUCGGUUUCUGUGAUGCUGGCUUAAUCGGUUCCAACCGACCCGUCUUGAAACACGGACCAAGGAGUCUAACAUAUGUGCGAGUAUGCGGGUUUUACUCCUGUAUGCGCAAUGAAAGUGAGAGUAGGGAGAUUUUGGCUUUGCCAUUCUUCGCACCUACGACCGACCACGAUCUCUGAGAGAGGUUCGAGUUGGAGCAUAUCUGUUAGGACCCGAAAGAUGGUGAACUAUGCCUGAGUAGAAUGAAGUCAGGGGAAACCCUGAUGGAGGUUCGUAGCGAUACUGACGUGCAAAUCGUUCGUCAAACUUGGGUAUAGGGGCGAAAGACUAAC